UAGCCUCUGUCCAGCGCAUACUGUGUUUCUGACAUUCACUGUGCGUGUGACAGCGGCUGAU
rnacentral:pre_miRNA from 1 species